GUUUGAUCAUGGCUCAGAUUGAACGCUGGCGGCAGGCCUAACACAUGCAAGUCGAACGGUAACAGGAAACAGCUUGCUGUUUCGCUGACGAGUGGCGGACGGGUGAGUAAUGUCUGGGAAACUGCCUGAUGGAGGGGGAUAACUACUGGAACCGGUAGCUAAUACCGCAUAACGUCGCAAGACCAAAGUGGGGGACCCUCGGGCCUCUUGCCAUCGGAUGUGCCUAGAUGGGAUUAGCUUGUUGGUGGGGUAACGGCUCACCAAGGCGACGAUCCCUAGCUGGUCUGAGAGGAUGACCAGCCACACUGGAACUGAGACACGGUCCAGACUCCUACGGGAGGCAGCAGCGGGGAAUAUUGGACAAUGGGCGAAAGCCUGAUCCAGCCAUGCCGCGUGUGUGAAGAAGGUCUUCGGAUUGUAAAGCACUUUAAGUUGGGAGGAAGGGCAGUAAGUUAAUACCUUGCUGUUUUGACGUUACCAACAGAAUAAGCACCGGCUAACUUCGUGCCAGCAGCCGCGGUAAUACGAAGGGUGCAAGCGUUAAUCGGAAUUACUGGGCGUAAAGCGCGCGUAGGUGGUUCAGCAAGUUGGAUGUGAAAUCCCCGGGCUCAACCUGGGAACUGCAUCCAAAACUACUGAGCUAGAGUACGGUAGAGGGUGGUGGAAUUUCCUGUGUAGCGGUGAAAUGCGUAGAGAUGUGGAGGAACACCAGUGGCGAAGGCGACUCUCUGGUCUGUAACUGACGCUGAGGAGCGAAAGCGUGGGGAGCGAACAGGAUUAGAUACCCUGGUAGUCCACGCCGUAAACGAUGAGUGCUAAGUGUUAGGGGGUUUCCGCCCCUUAGUGCUGCAGCUAACGCAUUAAGCACUCCGCCUGGGGAGUACGGUCGCAAGACUGAAACUCAAAGGAAUUGACGGGGGCCCGCACAAGCGGUGGAGCAUGUGGUUUAAUUCGAAGCAACGCGAAGAACCUUACCAGGUCUUGACAUCCUCUGACAAUCCUAGAGAUAGGACGUCCCCUUCGGGGGCAGAGCGACAGGUGGUGCAUAGUUGUCGUCAGCUCGUGUCGUGAGAUGUUGGGUUAAGUCCCGCAACGAGCGCAACCCUUGAUCUUAGUUGCCAGCAUUCAGUUGGGCACUCUAAGGUGACUGCCGGUGACAAACCGGAGGAAGGUGGGGAUGACGUCAAAUCAUCAUGCCCCUUAUGACCUGGGCUACACACGUGCUACAAUGGACAGAACAAAGGGCAGCGAAACCGCGAGGUUAAGCCAAUCCCACAAAUCUGUUCUCAGUUCGGAUCGCAGUCUGCAACUCGACUGCGUGAAGCUGGAAUCGCUAGUAAUCGCGGAUCAGCAUGCCGCGGUGAAUACGUUCCCGGGCCUUGUACACACCGCCCGUCACACCACGAGAGUUUGUAACACCCGAAGUCGGUGAGGUAACCUUUUAGGAGCCAGCCGCCG
rnacentral:rRNA from 1 species